AUUGAACGCUGGCGGCAUGCUUUACACAUGCAAGUCGAACGGUAACAGGCCGCAAGGUGCUGACGAGCGGCGAACGGGUGAGUAAUGCAUCGGAACGUGCCCAGUCGUGGGGGAUAACGCAGCGAAAGCUGCGCUAAUACCGCAUACGAUCUAUGGAUGAAAGCGGGGGACCGAAAGGCCUCGCGCGAUUGGAGCGGCCGAUGUCAGAUUAGGUAGUUGGUGGGGUAAAGGCUCACCAAGCCGACGAUCUGUAGCUGGUCUGAGAGGACGACCAGCCACACUGGGACUGAGACACGGCCCAGACUCCUACGGGAGGCAGCAGUGGGGAAUUUUGGACAAUGGGCGCAAGCCUGAUCCAGCAAUGCCGCGUGCAGGAAGAAGGCCUUCGGGUUGUAAACUGCUUUUGUACGGAGCGAAAAGGUUCCCUCUAAUACAGGGGGCUCAUGACGGUACCGUAAGAAUAAGCACCGGCUAACUACGUGCCAGCCGCCGCCGUAAGAC
rnacentral:rRNA from 1 species